UACGUAGGGGGGCAAGCGUUGUCCGGAUUCAUUGGGCGUAAAGAGCGUGUAGGCGGCCAGGUAGGUCGGUCGUGAAAACUGGAGGCUCAACCUUCAGAGGUCGACCGAAACCAUCUGGCUAGAGUCCGGGAGAGGAGAGUGGAAUUCCUGGUGUAGCGGUGAAAUGCGCAGAUAUCAGGAAGAACACCCGUGGCGAAAGCGGCUCUCUGGAACGGUACUGACGCUGAGACGCGAAAGCGUGGGGAGCGAACAGG
rnacentral:rRNA from 1 species